rnacentral:rRNA from 1 species
AUUGAACGCUGGCGGCAGGCCUAACACAUGCAAGUCGAGCGAGCGGCGGACGGGUGAGUAAUGUCUGGGAAACUGCCUGAUGGAGGGGGAUAACUACUGGAAACGGUAGCUAAUACCGCAUACCAUCAGAGGUGCCCAGAUGGGAUUAGCUAGUAGGUGGGGUAAUGGCUCACCUAGGCGACGAUCCCUAGCUGGUCUGAGAGGAUGACCAGGACCACUGGAAAUGAGACACGGUCCCGACUCCUACGGGAGGGAGCAGGGGGGAAUAUUGGACAAUGGGGGCAAGCCUGAUGCAGCCCUGCCGCGUGUGUGAAGAAGGGCUUCGGGGUGUAAAGCACUUUCAGCGGGGAGGUGUUACCCGCAGAAGAAGCACCGGCUAACUCCGUGCCAGCAGCCGCGGUAAUUC